GAAUCGCUAGUAAUCGUGGAUCAGAAUGUCACGGUGAAUACGUUCCCGGGCCUUGUACACACCGCCCGUCACACCAUGGGAGUGGACUGCACCAGAAGUGGUUAGCUUAACCUUCGGGAGAGCGAUCACCACGGUGUGGUUCAUGACUGGGGUGAAGUCGUAACAAGGUAGCCGUAGGGGAACCUGCGGCUGGAUCACCUCCUU
rnacentral:rRNA from 2 species